GAUGAACGCUAGCUACAGGCUUAACACAUGCAAGUCGAGGGGCAGCAUGGUCUUAGCUUGCUAAGGCCGAUGGCGACCGGCGCACGGGUGAGUAACACGUAUCCAACCUGCCGUCUACUCUUGGACAGCCUUCUGAAAGGAAGAUUAAUACAAGAUGGCAUCAUGAGUUCACAUGUUCACAUGAUUAAAGGUAUUCCGGUAGACGAUGGGGAUGCGUUCCAUUAGAUAGUAGGCGGGGUAACGGCCCACCUAGUCUUCGAUGGAUAGGGGUUCUGAGAGGAAGGUCCCCCACAUUGGAACUGAGACACGGUCCAAACUCCUACGGGAGGCAGCAGUGAGGAAUAUUGGUCAAUGGGCGAGAGCCUGAACCAGCCAAGUAGCGUGAAGGAUGACUGCCCUAUGGAUUGUAAACUUCUUUUAUAAAGGAAUAAAGUCGGGUAUGUAUACCCGUUUGCAUGUACUUUAUGAAUAAGGAUCGGCUAACUCCGUG
rnacentral:rRNA from 1 species